UUUUUUUUUUUUUUUUGGUCUUUUCUAGGACCACACCCACAGCAUAUGGAGGUUCCCAGGCUAGGGGGCUAACUGGAGCUGGAGCUGCUGGCCUACACCAGAGCCACAGCAAGGGGUCAUCCAAGCCAGGUCUGCAACCUACACCACAGCUCACAGCUAUGCCUGAGCGAGGCCAGGUAUCAAACCCGCAACCUCAUGGUUCCUAGUUGGAUUCGUUAACCACUGAGCCACGACGGGAACUCUGUAUUUCCUGAUUUUUGACGCUUUGACAUCUGGGGCCUCAUUCACCCAGGAGAGACAGCCCCUCCCAGAGCCAGCUAAUUCCCAGAGACUGCAAACAAGCCCCUUAGAGUGCCCUUCAUAUGCAAACCAGCCGAUCCAGAGCUCACACCCUAACCCCCUCCUCUAUGGGGCUUUCACAUUCGAGAGGGAGGGCACUAUCCCCCUACCCUAAUCACCCCAAGGCCAGGUGUUAGGCAACUAAAGCCAGCAUCUACUGCCUCAGAGCCUGCUGACAUUAUUUAAACUAGCCCAUCUUGGGCCUCUUUACCCCCCUUUCCCUCUUCCUUCCCUUAGAAGCCAUAAUAAAGGCUCUGGUCCACAUUUUCCCCCAUCCCUUUGCCCCCUCACUCCAACCCUGGUGCUUCUCCAUGUGGCCCUAAAUAGAUAGCGUGGCUUGACCUCCCCCUCCUCUUGGAAACCAAAAAAAUGUUUUCAGGGGCAGUCAUCUCCUGAUCUGUUGGUCUGAGUAAUUGUAAGACCCAGGAGAGAAGGAAUGCUCGCCCCAGUGAUGUUUACAUUCCAGGGGAGGGUGCAGACAUAAGCUCUGAGGACAGUGACAGGUAAGAGGGGAGUGGUCAGGGGAGACCUCCUGGAGGAGGAGGUGGAAUCUGAACACCAACCUGCGAGAUGAGAAGGAGCCAGCCAGCCCACACCAGCUUACGCUUAACUCCCUUGAUCCCGCUUCAUGCAUCGUCUGGGAAGUUCCGUGAAGAGGGGAAGCAUCUCGAGUCCCCAGUGCUUUGUGCUGUGGUACCGUGUGGUCUCUGUUGUGUCGGCACUUGCUGCUGGAGGCAAACACAGGGAGGGUGCUUGUGGCUGUGGAUUUGAGGCCGUGCAGUAACAACCCUGCAGCCUGUGGGCCAUCUCACUGCUCCUGGGUGCCCACCUUUCCGGGAGUGAUUCCGGGAGCCUCGGCAUUGCCUUAACCUUCCCUGGGGCUGUUUCCAGCCGGGUUAGGGGUCUGACAGCAUCGGAGUCCACUCUAAAGGUUAGGAACACACUCAAAAUAAUGCAGACCACGAUCUCUGAGUCUGGCUUGCUCACUGCUGCUCAAAGCAAUUGUCACUUCACUAACACGUGACCUUGGUCUGGGGCUCCCUGCAUCCUGGGGCGGCUGAGGAGGAGGGACCUGAGGACAAGGCCCAGGCUCUCUUGGGCUCUGAGCCUGCAUCUCUGAUUGGCCUUCCCAGGAAUGGACUCUGCUCCCCAGAGAAGCUGUGACUGGGCAUGUCUGCCUUUGGGGACACCACAUGAUGUCUCUGGCCACAGGUAACAAUGGAUGGCUCACUUCCUUAGCCAGUACUCACGCCUGUGACCCCCAAGGCAGAUUCAAUCAUACUCCAGUGGGAAAGGCAAAAUAAUGCCCUUCUCCCCAAAGAUGUCCCCAUCAUAAGCCCUGGGACCUGUGAAAAUGUCACCUGAUCCGGCAAAAAGGACUGCUGCAGAUGUGACUGAGGUUAAGGACCUUGAGAUGGGGAUUAUCCACAUGGGUCCCAUGGGACCACGUGAAACUUCAAAACUGAAGAAACUUUCCUGACCGCAGUUGGAGGGAGAUGUGGCUAUGGAAAAAAGAAUCAGAAAAACACUGCUCUCCUGGCUCUGAAGAUGGAGGAAGGGGCCAGGGGGCAAGGGAUGUGGGCUGCUUAGAGAAGCUAGAAAAGGCUCAGAGUCAGAUUGCUCCCCCAGAGCCUCUGGAAGGAACCAACCCUGCAGACACCUUGAAUUUGAGGACUUCUGGCAUCCAGAACUGUGAGCUGAGGAGUCUGUGUGAAUUCGUUACAGCAGCCAGAGGAAGCACACACCCAAUUAACCGGCAGAUACUGUGUGAAACACAAAUCCUAAUAUCAGCACACCCUCUGGGGAAAGGAGAUCACUGAUUCCGAGAAAGCAACAUCCCGCUGAGCACAUGAGGCCUCCAGCACCCAAGGCUGGACCUGAUAUGAUCACCCACCAAAUCCGUCCCGCAGCCUGGGGUGGCGGCAUGAAGCCCAAUUGAAACAUGAGAAUGCUGAGGGCUCCAGAGAGGGUAAGCCACUUUCCCAAGGACACACAGCUGAUGAAAGAAGAAGAGCUGGGAUAUGAACCCACUGGGCUCAUCACCCUGUGAUCCUGUGACCGAGGGAGGGGCAGAAAUGGGAGGACCCCACCCCUCAACCCACAAACCAGUUAAAAGGCACCACCUCCCCACACACUGACGGGAUCUGUGGUUGUAUUUUUUAAACAUCAAAAAGUCCUUUUUAUAAUGUUGCAUUGGAAAUUAUUUGACUAAGAGUAACUCGUGCAAUUUGAGACUGGCAAUCAUGGUGCAGGCUUGGGAAUUCCUGCAAAGUGAGAAAAUUUAACCUAGGAGCUGUUUUGAAACAUAAUGAAAUCUGUAUGAAUACAAAAUUUAGCAGUUGAUGAAGUUGACACAUUUUUGUAGAUGUGGAGACAUUUUAUAAGAUAUUAAUUCUGAUCUUGCAGUUUUCUUUUUGUAUUUUUGGAGCAGAUCAUUUCUUCACUCUUCCUCACCAGGCCUCACAACAUUUUACAGGUCUCCUGUAAGACAUGAACACCCUAGGCCCAGUUCCUAUAGGUUUCCUAGAAUUGCCCUGGCAUACAGUAGGUGCUCAAUAAAUGUAUAUAUUUUUAAUUUAAAAACUUUUUUUUCAUCUUUUUUAGGGCCGCACCCACAGCAUAUAUUAGUUCCCAGACUAGGGGUCUAAUUGGAGCUGCAGCUGCCAGCCACAGCCACAGCUACAGCCAAAUAGGAUCCGAGACACAUCUGCCACCUAUGCUGCAGCCUUCGGCUAUGCCAGAUCCUUAACCCACUGAGGCCAGGGAUCAAACCUGAGACUUAUGGUUUUUAGGGCUGCACUCUUGGCACAUGAAAGUUCUCAGGCUAGGGGUCAAGUCGAAGCUACAGCUGCCGGCCUGCACCACAGUCACAGCAACCCAGGAUCCAAGCCACGUCUGCAGCCUACACCACAGCUCAUGGCAAUGCCAGAUCCUUAACCCACUGAGCAAGGCCAGGGAUCGAACAGGCAUCCUCAUGGAUACUAGUCAGCUGGUUACCAGUGAGCCGAAGUGGGAACUUCUUAUCUCCAGAACUUUCUCACGUCUCCUUUGAGCCCUGACUCUCCAUCCCCCUCCCCAAGUCCCUGGCCCUACCAUCUACUUUCUGUCUCUACAGAUCUGAUUUCUCUAGGGACCUCCUGUGAGUGGAAUCAUUCAGUAUUUGUUCUUGUGUGUCUAGCUUGUUUUACUGAGCAUUAUGUCACGAUCCCAUCCAUACUGCAGUCUGCCAUGUGUGUCAACAUUCCCUUCCUUUCAAAGGCUGACUAAUAUUCCACUGUAUGGUUGGACCACAAUCUGUUCAUCCAUACCAAUACUCCUCCAUUAGGAUGGCUAUUAUUAUUAUCAUUAUUAUUAUUAUUUUGCUUUUUAGGGCUGCACCCAUGGCAUAUGGAGGUUCCCAGGUUAGGGGUCAAAUUGGACCUACAGCUAUAGGAUGGCUAUUAAUAAAAAAAGAAACAUCAGGCUCCCUGGUUGCUCAGCAAGUUAAGGGUCUGGCACUGUCACUGCUGUGGCGCAGGUUCAAUCUCUGGCUUGGGAAUUUCCUCAUGCCUUGGGUGCAGCCAAAAAUGAACAAACAACCCAGAAAACAAGUGCUGGUGAAGAUGUGGAGAUGCUUGGAACCCUUGUGCACGGCUCCUGGGAAUAUAAAAAAGGGGAUGCCCCUGUGGAAAACAGUCUGGCGGGUUCCUCAAAAGUUAAAUAUAGGCUCACCAUAUGACACAAGAAUUUUGCUCCUAGGUAUAUACACCCAGAAAAGGAGAAAAUAGGUCUGCAAAGACAAAUAUUCACACUUGACUUUAUAGAAGCAUUCUUCACAGGAGCCAAAAAGUAGAAACAACCCAAGUGUCCAUUAGCAGAUUUUUUUUUUUUUAAAUGGCUGCACUUGCACAUAUGGAAGUUGGCCAGGGAUGGAAUCCAAGCCACAGCUGCAACCUAUGUCAGAUCCUUCAAUCCACUGCACUGGGCCUGGGAUAGAACCCUUGCCUCCUCAGGGACCCAAGCUGCUGCAGUCGGAUUCUUAACCCACUAUGCCAUGGCGGGAACUCCCAGCAGAUUCCUCUUCAAACAAAGAUUUUUCCCACCUCCUUUUUCUCUCUUGAAAUAAAAACCAGAGCUAGUAUAAACUAACAACACAUGUUUUUUUUUUAAAAAAACCUCAACAACACAAUCAUUUGAUGCGCUAUCAGAUAUAAAGAUAAGAAAUAAGUCUUCAAUAAGUGGUGCUGGGAAAACUGGACAGCUACAUGUAAAGGAAUGAAAUUAGAACACUCCCUAACACCACACACAAAAAUAAACUCAAAAACAGAUUAAACACCUAAAUAUAAGACUGGCUACUAUAAAAUUCUUAGAGGAAAACUUAGACUGAAAACUCUGACAAAAAUUGUAGGAAUAUCUUCUCAGAUCCACCUCCCAAAGUAAUGAAAAUAAAAGCAAAAAUAAACAAAUGGGACCUAAUUAAACUUAAAAGUUUUUGCACAGCAAAGGAAACCAUAAACAAAAUUAAAGACAACACACAGAAUGGGAGAAAAUAUUUGCAAAUGAUGUGACUGACAUCAUUUGGGAUUAAUCUCCAAAAUAUACAAACAACUCAUACAGCUCAAUAUAAAAAAAAAACAACCCAAUCAAAAAAUGGGCAAAAGAUCUGAAUAGACAUUUCUCCAAAGAAGAUAAACAGAUGGCCAAAAAACACAUGAAAAGAUGCUCAACAUCGCUAAUUAUUAGUGAAAUGUAAACCAUAACUACUACAAGGUACCAUCUUAAACCAGUCAGAAUGGCCAUCUUAAAAUUGUCUACAAAAAAUAAAUGCUGGAGAGGGUGCAAAGAAAAGGGAACCCUCCUACACUGUAGGUGGGAAUGUAACUUGCUACAAUCACUACGGAAAACAGUUUGGAAGUUCCUCAAAAAACUAAAAAUAGGAGUUCUUGUUGUAGCACAGCAGACACAAACCUAACUAGUAUCUGUGAGGUUUUGGGUUCGAUCCCUGGCCCCGCUCAGUGGGUCGGAGAUCUGGCAUUGCUUUGACUGUACUGUAGGUCACGGACAUGACUCAGAUCCAGUGUUGCUGUGGCUAUGGUGUAGUUUGGCAGCUGUAGCUCUGAUUUGACCCCUAACCUGGGAACUUCCAUAUGACUCGGGUGCAGCCCUAAAAAAAAAUAAAAAACAAACAAAAAAACCUAAAAAGAGAACUACUAUAUAAUCUAGCAAUCCCACUCCUGAGCAUCCAUCUGGAGAAAACCAUAAGAUGUGGUACAUGUAUAUAAUGGAAUAUUACUUAGUCAUAAAAAAGAAUGAAAUAAUGCCAUUGGCAGCAACAUGGAUGGACCAUACUAAAUGAAGUUAGUCAGAUAGUGAAUGACAAAAUUCAUAUGAUGUCACUUAUAUGUGGAAUUUUAAGAAAAGGAUACAAUGAACCUAUUGUCAGAACAGAAACACUCAGACUUUGAAAACAAACUUACAGUUACCAAAGGGGACAAGUGGGAAGGGUGGGAUAGGCUGGGAGUUUGAGACUGGCAUAUGCAAGCUGAGGUAUAUGGAAUGAUUGGCCAACAGGACCCGUGGUAUAGCACAGAGAACUCUACCCAGUAUUCUGUGAUAAUCUACACCAUGUGGAAGUUCCCAGGUCAGGCGCUGAACCUGUGCCACAGGAGUGAUCCCAGCCAAUGCAGUGACAACAUCAGAUCCUUAACUUACUUUGCUACAAGGGAAUUCUAAUAAAAUUAUAGAAAUUAUUUUUAUUUUCAUUUAUUUUUAUUUUUUUAAGCUGCAUCCACAGAAUGCAAAACUUCCCAGG
rnacentral:lncRNA from 1 species